rnacentral:rRNA from 1 species
AUUAGAUACCCUGGGUAGUCCACGCAGUAAACGAUGAGCACUAAUUGUCCGGUCCGAAUGAGGACUGGGUGAUACAGCGAAAGCGUUAAGUGCUCCACCUGGGGAGUACGCCGGCAACGGUGAAACUCAAAGGAAUUGACGGGGGCCCGCACAAGCGGAGGAACAUGUGGUUUAAUUCGAUGAUACGCGAGGAACCUUACCCGGGCUCAAACGGCGGAGGACAGGCGCAGAGACGUGCCCUCCUUCGGGUCUCCGCCGAGGUGCUGCAUGGUUGUCGUCAGCUCGUGCCGUGAGGUGUCGGCUUAAGUGCCAUAACGAGCGCAACCCCUGCCGGCAGUUGCUAACGGGUAAAGCCGAGGACUCUGCCGGGACUGCCGGCGCAAGCCGCGAGGAAGGCGGGGAUGACGUCAAAUCAGCACGGCCCUUACGUCCGGGGCGACACACGUGUUACAAUGGGUGGCACAGAGGGAAGCCAGGUGGCGACACCGAGCGGAACCCGAAAUCCACUCUCAGUUCGGAUCGGAGUCUGCAACCCGACUCCGUGAAGCUGGAUUCGCUAGUAAUCGCGCAUCAGCCAUGGCGCGGUGAAUACGUUCCCGGGCCUUGUACACACCGCCCGUCAAGCCAUGGGAGCCGAGGGCGCUUGAAGUGCGUCGCCGCGAGGCGCGCCCUAGAGCGAAAUCGGUGACUGGGGCUAAGUCGUAACAAGGUAGC